AGAAGAUCACCUAUGCACUAGUUUCCUCCCUUUGUUUCUCUGAUACUGAGUAACAGUGAAUAGAAGCUGGGGCUUCAGUAUGAUUAUUCAGUAACGGAAAGGAAAAGGAAAUUUCAAAAUAACAUGCCCAUAUUACACUCAGGCUAAGCUUGUUAUGGGCUCAGAGCCCUGGCACAGACCAGCUGUUUGUCUGCUAUUGGCUGGACUGCAACACACCUCUGGAAUGCCUCCUCUUGGAAUACAGCACAUUGGAUCCUUUCGUGGAGUGUGGCGAAAAUUAAGGAGGACAAAAGCAAGGCUUAGAAUUUGUAACUAAACAGAUUAUAAAAUAGGCGUUUGUGUAGUGUGUUUCUAUUUUGUUCAAAACUUUGCACAGAUUGUUCUUUUAAUUAUUGCAGUAAUGUGCUUAUAAAGUGUGCUAGGAGAUUAUUGAUUUUGUUUCUCUUUAGCAAAAGUAGGUCAAAUUAUUUACUUCAGUUAUUUUUCAGCUUCCUAAAGCUGCAUUUUUGCUGUUGAUGGCAAAAACAACAAUUCCUUUACUUUGCCAGUUUAAUACCAUAACAAUAGGCCAUAGCCUUGCAUUUAUGUGAUAAACACUAUAGCAGAACUGUGGUAUUUUGUGCAUUUUAUUUAAGUUUGUAUUUUUAACUAACAUAGAGUUGCUAAAAGAUCACAUUUGACACCAUAACCAUUUCAUCACAACUACAACUCAAACAAAUCCUAUCAUCCGAAGGAUGAUAAUUCUUCCAAAAGCCAUCAAAUUUUGUUGAAGGAAGAAAGAUAAUUCUGGGUAGUAGCUUCCAAUCUGUCCAUGAGAUGAUGAUCCUUCAUUUUUGCUACAGCCUCUCUUAUAUUAGAAGCAGAGGUCCUCAAAUGAUGGUCGACUAAAGACCUGUGACAGCAAAAGUAAACUUAUUAAAUCAUUUUUUGGAGAGAGACGGAAGGCCAUCUAUGGAAUGAGACAAUGGGAAGGUACCACGCUCCGAUGGCUCUUUAGUGGCAUUUGUGUUUUGGUUGUUUACACUUGAUAAUAUGGGCUAACUUUGAUAUGGUACUAAUAGGAAUAUGCCUAUAUAUUAUAUUUGGAAAUCACUGGAAGCCAUUCACUGUUCAAUUAUGAUAUUCUGAUGCAUGGCCCUUUCUUACUAGAGGAGGCAUUUUUUUUAUUAGGUCUUAUGUAUUUUUUGAUACUUUGUUUAUUUCUUAGAAGCUUACUAGAGCCAGUUAAUUUGCUGAAGUGUAGCCAAGUUAAUGGAUUUUGAUACAAUUUAGUUUGAAACACAUUACAAAAUACUUGAUACUUCGUGUUUAUUAGAUCUAAGCUGAUGAAGCAAGCACUUAAAGGAACAUUAUAGUGUUAGGAAUACAACACUUUAUUCGUAACACUAUAGUGUCUGCCUCCCCAUGGCAAAUAAAGGGUUAAAAAAAAGUUUUACUUACCUGAUUCUGAACAGUGCUCAGAAUCACUCUCUGCCUCCUCUGACUUCACGUUGAUGAAGAAUCCUAAUGCCAUGCAUGGAAAGCACCACACACACCAUUUCUGUGGAACUCCCUUCCCUUCUCCGUUAUACUUUCACCCACUCCUUCAAAAAAUCUUUGAAAACCCACUUCUUCAGGAAAGCAUAUCAUUUAUACUGUAAGCGGGGUUUCAAUCCCCCCCUCCCCCCAAUGACUCCUCUCCUGCAACUGUCAAAAAUAACCUACUAAGUUCUCAGUGAAUACAUUUCUAACAACCUAUUUCAUUACCCCUACUUAUACCCUUUGUGUCACUAUACCCCACUCCCUCUAGCAUGUAAGCUCAUUGAGCAGGGCCCUCAACCCCUCUGUUCCUGUGCUUUCAUUUGUCUGAUUACAAUUACGUGUCUGUUAGUCCACCCAUUGUACAGCGCUACGGAAUUGGCUGGCGCUAUAUAAAUAAAAAAAAUAAUAAUAAUAUGAAAAACCUCUAUUAGGUCCCUCACUUUAUGCUGUAAGGGAGUUUACCCAAGGUAAGUAAGUGUCUUUUUGGCCUUAAUGUUACCAGGAAAGCUCUGUAGUUACCCUGCUACUGUAUAUGAAUUAAUAGGGGCGUUAUACCAUCAACACAUUUGUUCUUGUAAUGUGACACAUACUGAGACCUUAGUCAG